rnacentral:lncRNA from 1 species
GAUCGGAUAACCUGUUGUUAGGUUACUGCCCUGAGUUGGUAAUUUUAAGGAAAUUUUGCCGUUUUUUGUUAUUAUCUUGAAUAUUAUUAUAGAUAGAGAUAAACUGUAAAUAGCAAUAAUGUUCAGCAAAACAAGAUCUACAAAUAAGUUUCAUGACCAAAAUAGUCAAUUGACCCUUAGGAGUUAUUUGCCCUUUUAGUUAAUUUUUAGCAUUUUUCAUAAAUUUUUGUAAAUUUUUAGAAAAUAUUUUCCACUGUAAUUACUGGGCCAAGUUCAUUAUAGAUUGAGAUAAUUGUACCAACAAGAAUGUUCAGUAAAGUAAGAUCUACAAACACAUCACCAUCACCAAAACACAAUUAUGUCAUGAAUUUAUCUGUGUCCCUUGUUUAAUAUGCACAUAGACCAAGGUGAGCG